rnacentral:tRNA from 1 species
GCAGGGAUAGCCAAGCGGUCAACGGCGGUGGACACAAUCCAUUGACAUAGGUCUACAGGGGUUCAAAUCCCCUUCCCUGCA